GCCAGAAUGUAGGAGUCAAACCAGUGCCCUGAAGACUUCAUUUUAGUUCCUUAUGCUUGUUAUUUCUACCACUUGUAGGCAGCUAGAGAAACUACAAGAUUCUUUUCUCUGUACAUUACUCCUGACAUUUUAUAUUCUUACUUUUCUAAAGUACAUCGUGUUUGAAGUUGCUCUAAUCGUUGACCAAAAGGUACCUUAAAAUGCUAGCUGACAUAUCUUGACCCAGUUAGUUGGGUUCCUCUCUGAGCGAAUUUCAUGGACUGCUCCAUUUUUAGAAGUAUAAACAUGUGAGCAACUCCUUGGUUUAGAUUUCAGCUCUGUGAGUAAAUGCUUAUGUGUUUUUAGACAAAGUUACUUUGUCCUUUGGUUGUGGCUGCAGAUAGAUGUGCUAUAAUCAUUUGCUGAGAGGGCUGGUGACUGUCAAAGCGCUCUGAGCUAGGACUUGCCAUCUGAGCAUGGCUUCAUGUCCUGUAAUAACAAAACAGGUGUUUAAAACUGUAAAUGAUACAUAGGAUGUUUCCUUGAAUUUCUGGUAUAAAGUCUCUGUCUGAACUGCACUGCCUUCAGAGUGCUUACUUCACAAAGGUGAUCUGAUGCUUCUGGAAUUGCAUAUCAUCAAAAUAAAGGAAAAGAAAAGCUUAGGCUUGUAAAUCACUUUGGGGUUUUGAAAAAUAUUACUGUCAUCAGAAAUCUGUAUUACUCCGUGUUUAGCAGUGUUUCUUCCCAGUUAUUUACAGAAGCUAUUCCAGUCUAGAUUUUUGAUGAACAUUGCUUGUAGUGUAUAUCCUUUCUAAAAGCAAAAGAUAAAGACUUUAAGAAUAGUGUUUAAAAAGUGAUUAGAAUAUUGGCUGUUAUUAAUCAAACUGUUGUUUUUUUUUAUAUUAUUUUUAACAUAUUUUUCAUUCCAAGGCUGAAAUUUAAGAAAAACCUUCCUCAUUUCCAUUGCUCUACAAACAUUGUACUCUCAUCUGAGAUCACAGAGCACAUCAAAUGCCCUUUGAAAAGUUGUAUUGACAUACAUUAAAAUACUCGUGAUUAAAUAGGUCCAGCUGAUAGAUGCUUAGAAAAAAUCAUCUUUGUGAUUCACUUUAAGUGAAACAAAGUGGUAUUAAUUAAAUACUGAUUUUAGAACUUCCAAAACUUGUUUAGUAAUUCUUGCUCAGAGAUUCUGAAAACUAAAAUAGAUCAUUACCUCCUUCAGCCUGACCUCUAGUGGAAAAUAUGCCAUGGAAUGGCUGCCCUUGUGCUGAGGUUAGUUUUAAUUACAGCAUGUCUUCCAGAAAGGUGUGUGAUCUUUAGUCAGGGACAUUAAGAAACAGGCAUCGAUCCACUUCUUUUUUCGACUCACUUCUCUCUGAAAUACACAUACACACAAAAUCUAGUCUUUAAAAAAGGAUUUAUUUAUUUAUUUUAAACAAGGCAGUUAUAAAAUUAUUGUGAUGCAAGGAGGAACAUGAAAUAUCUUAAACAGGUGCUUUCCUCCUACAAAGCAUCCUGCUCUUCUUUGCCGUUCACUCUUAGAAAAACAAAACUAAAGCAAAAAGAAUUUAGAGCCUCCUUCCACAUGCACAAAAAUACUACUCUUCUAUUUUAAAAGUAGGCAUGAAAAAUGUGAAUUAUAAUGUCUAAUUUUUUAUUUUCUGUACAUUAUUACUAAUUAAUCAGGCUUAGGAAAUUAUGUUAUGGUGAAUAAGCACACAGAAGACUGUAUUCUGCACAAUUACAUGCCACAUAUGAGGUGUGUAUGAAGUAACCAUGAUCCUAUGUCAUAAAUGCUAAGUAAUAGCAUUGAGCUAGGGCAUCGCUUAUUAGCCUGGAGUGAAACAUAUUGAAGUGCAUGUUUAUAAAAGAGUGGAAAAUGACAUCUCUGGCACACUUUUCUUCAAAGCCUACUGAGGUAUAUGCUAUACGGGCAGGGGAAUGGUGGCUGACUUGUAUUAAGUAGUCAGCCUCCAUGUCUUGACACGGCAUUUCCAAAUUCUGACCUGUGUGCCAGGUGGCUGCUUCCUUUGCCAUGGAAACGCGUUUGAGAGUCAUUUAUUUUUGUACAUUAAAGGAUGUUAUUUUAGCAAUGGCCACAUAACCUCUGUAACGAAAUGCUUUCAUCUCUAGUUCUUUGCUGGUGGAUCCCAGUGCGCAUCACCACUGACAGUUAGCAUCUUUCUUUUACUGUACAUCUUACAUGUUCUGGUGGACUUUUGAGAGUGCAUAAGAAGAGGGAGUUCCAAGAAGCCUGCCUGCC
ensembl:lncRNA